UACAGAGGUCCCGAGCGUUGUUCGGAUUCACUGGGCGUAAAGGGUGCGCAGGUGGUAAGGUAAGUCGGAUGUGAAAGCUCCGGGCUCAACCCGGAAAUGGCAUUGGAAACUACUUUGCUUGAGGUUUGGAGGGGGGACUGGAAUUCUCGGUGUAGCAGUGAAAUGCGUAGAUAUCGAGAGGAACACCAGUGGCGAAGGCGAGUCCCUGGACAACACCUGACACUGAGGCACGAAAGCCAGGGGAGCAAACGGG
rnacentral:rRNA from 1 species